CCUACGGGAGACUGCAGUGAGGAAUAUUGGUCAAUGGGCGCUAGCCUGAACCAGCCAAGUAGCGUGAAGGAUGACUGCCCUACGGGUUGUAAACUUCUUUUAUAAGGGAAUAAAGUGAGGCAUGUGUGCCUCUUUGUAUGUACCUUAUGAAUAAGGAUCGGCUAACUCCGUGCCAGCAGCCGCGGUAAUACGGAGGAUCCGAGCGUUAUCCGGAUUUAUUGGGUUUAAAGGGAGCGUAGAUGGGUUGUUAAGUCAGUUGUGAAAGUUUGCGGCUCAACCGUAAAAUUGCAAUUGAUACUGGCAGCCUUGAGUACAGUAGAGGUAGGCGGAAUUCGUGGUGUAGCGGUGAAAUGCUUAGAUAUCACGAAGAACUCCGAUUGCGAAGGCAGCCUACUAAACUGUCACUGACAUUGAUGCUCGAAAGUGUGGGUAUCAAACAGGAUUAGAUACCCUUGUAGUC
rnacentral:rRNA from 1 species